rnacentral:lncRNA from 1 species
ACACAAACAAUUAUCCUGGUUCACCCCCUAAUAGUAUGGGCUACUCCAGUCCUCACGCUCCUGUGAGAUUAUCCACUAUGAGAUACUACCGAUCUCAAAUUACACUUCUUCCUUGAUCUAGUCCAAUAUCAUAAUCUUCCAAGCUUCACUCGCUUGAUCUACCUAAGUCCUCCAGACUUUAUAAGGUGUCACUCAAUCAAUAGUUACGUAUUGACUUGAGCCAAUCUUUUACAAAUGAUGAUGGUUUGGAUCUUCAAG